UUAAGCGACUAAGCGUACACGGUGGAUGCCCUGGCAGUCAGAGGCGAUGAAGGACGUGCUAAUCUGCGAUAAGCGUCGGUAAGGUGAUAUGAACCGUUAUAACCGGCGAUUUCCGAAUGGGGAAACCCAGUGUGUUUCGACACACUAUCAUUAACUGAAUCCAUAGGUUAAUGAGGCGAACCGGGGGAACUGAAACAUCUAAGUACCCCGAGGAAAAGAAAUCAACCGAGAUUCCCCCAGUAGCGGCGAGCGAACGGGGAGGAGCCCAGAGCCUGAAUCAGUGUGUGUGUUAGUGGAAGCGUCUGGAAAGGCGCGCGAUACAGGGUGACAGCCCCGUACACAAAAAUGCACAUGCUGUGAGCUCGAUGAGUAGGGCGGGACACGUGGUAUCCUGUCUGAAUAUGGGGGGACCAUCCUCCAAGGCUAAAUACUCCUGACUGACCGAUAGUGAACCAGUACCGUGAGGGAAAGGCGAAAAGAACCCCGGCGAGGGGAGUGAAAAAGAACCUGAAACCGUGUACGUACAAGCAGUGGGAGCACAGAGCAAUCUGUGUGACUGCGUACCUUUUGUAUAAUGGGUCAGCGACUUAUAUUCUGUAGCAAGGUUAACCGAAUAGGGGAGCCGAAGGGAAACCGAGUCUUAACUGGGCGUUAAGUUGCAGGGUAUAGACCCGAAACCCGGUGAUCUAGCCAUGGGCAGGUUGAAGGUUGGGUAACACUAACUGGAGGACCGAACCGACUAAUGUUGAAAAAUUAGCGGAUGACUUGUGGCUGGGGGUGAAAGGCCAAUCAAACCGGGAGAUAGCUGGUUCUCCCCGAAAGCUAUUUAGGUAGCGCCUCGUGAAUUCAUCUCCGGGGGUAGAGCACUGUUUCGGCAAGGGGGUCAUCCCGACUUACCAACCCGAUGCAAACUGCGAAUACCGGAGAAUGUUAUCACGGGAGACACACGGCGGGUGCUAACGUCCGUCGUGAAGAGGGAAAC
rnacentral:rRNA from 1 species